AGAUGUAGACGAAUGUAAUAGCGAUAACUCCUGUUCUGCUAAUGCUGACUGUGACAAUACUGUUGGAAGCUACAACUGUACAUGUAAGGUUGGUUACCAUGGGAACGGAAGACAAUGUGAAGAUGCGAACGAGUGUACGGAGCCUGACGCCUGCUCUCCAAAUGCUGUUUGUAUGAACGUACCUGGUAGUUACAGCUGUAAAUGUAACGUCGGAUUUACUGGAGAUGGGAGCAACUGUACAGACGUGGAUGAAUGUGUUGAGAUGGACCUCUGCGGUCUUAAUGCUAACUGUGACAAUGUCCCUGGUUCCUACAACUGCACCUGUCAGACUGGUUUCCUUGGGAACGGCACAAACUGCAC